AGCGCGAUAAAUUGCCCUUUAAUUGUGGGCCUGUACGAACGGACAAACGAAAAUAAACCUGUCUCCUUUAUAAAUCUAAAAAUUGAUUACUAGGUGAACAAACCUAGAUCUGACUAAAGGACAAAAAGACCCCGUAGAGCUUUAGUAAAGAUAAAAACUACUUCUGUUUAACACAUUACAUAUAUAAAAUGCCUUUAUCACACUUUAACUGGGGCGGUUAAGGAAGAUAAAAAUCUUCCUCAGAUAAAAUAGGCCCUCAUGCCACAAAAACCUGAUCCUUUUAUUAAGAUCAAUAAAUAAGCUACCUCGGGGAUAACAGAUUAAUCUUUCUUAAGAGUCCUCAUUGACAGAAAGGUUUGACACCUCGAUGUUGGCUUAGGGUACCCAAAAGGUCAAGCAGCAGCCUUUAAAGGUAGGUUUGUUCAACCUUUAAAA
rnacentral:rRNA from 1 species